UACGUAGGGUGCAAGCGUUGUCCGGAAUUAUUGGGCGUAAAGAGCUCGUAGGCGGUCUGUCGCGUCUGCUGUGAAAACCUGGGGCUUAACUCUGGGCGUGCAGUGGGUACGGGCAGACUAGAGUGCAGUAGGGGAGACUGGAAUUCCUGGUGUAGCGGUGAAAUGCGCAGAUAUCGGGAAGAACACCCGUGGCGAAGGCGGCUCUCUGGGACGGUACUGACGCUGAGACGCGAAAGCGUGGGGAGCGAACAGG
rnacentral:rRNA from 1 species